UUCCAAUCGAACCCGGAUAUAGCUGGUUCUCCCCGAAAUAGCUUUAGGGCUAGCCUCGCAUAUAUUUACCGGAGGUAAAGCACUGAAUAGGUGAGGGGUCGAGAGAUUACCAACCCUUAUCAAACUAAGAAUGCCGGAUAAAUGAGUGCGGGAGUCAGACUGUGUGAGAUAAGUCUCACGGUCAAAAGGGAAACAGCCCAGACCCACAGCUAAGGUCCCCAAUAUAUGCUAAGUGGAGAAGGAUGUGGCAAUGCAAAGACAACCAGGACGUUGGCUUAGAAGCAGCCACUCAUUCAAAGAGUGCGUAAUAGCUCACUGGUCGAGUGAUGCUGCGCCGAAGAUUUAACGGGGCUAAAGCAUAUAACCGAAGCUUGGGCAGUCAAAUGACUGGGUAGGGGAGCGUCGAAUUAGGGGCGAAGCAUGAGCGGAAGCACAUGUGGACUUAAUUCGAGUGAGAAUGCCGGAAUGAGUAGCGAGAAUUGCGUGAGAAUCGUAAUGGCCGAAAAUCUAAGGUUUCCGUGGGAAGGUUCGUCCGCCACGGGUAAGCCGGGAGCUAAGGCGAGGCCGAAAGGCGUAGUCGAUGCACAUACGGUAGAUAUUCCGUAGCCGUCUAAGUUUAAGCACACUGACAUGUAUCCGGACUGUGACCCGAGCGUUGGUAGACUCGGGCGAAAGGGACUGAAAAAUAGUAGGGAAGCACAGGAAAGAUAUAGCGAGAAAAGGUGUGAGGAAUACGAAAGGCGCCCGUACCGCAAACCGACACAGGUAGAUGAGGAGAGAAUCCUAAGGCCAACGGGAGAAGGGUUGUUAAGGAACUCGGCAAAUUGACCCCGUAACUUCGGAAUAAGGGGUGCCACUGAAAGGUGGUCGCAGUGAAUCGGCCCAAGCGACUGUUUAUCAAAAACACAGGUCUCUGCAAAACCGAAAGGUGAAGUAUAGGGGCUGACGCCUGCCCGGUGCUGGAAGGUUAAGGGGAAUGCUUAGAGCAAUCGAAGGCAUGAACUUAAGCCCCAGUAAACGGCGGCCGUAACUAUAACGGUCCUAAGGUAGCGAAAUUCCUUGUCAGGUAAGUUCUGGCCUGCACGAAUGGCGUAACGAUCUGGGCACUGUCUCAACAGCCUACCCGGCGAAAUUGUAGUACCGGUGAAGAUGCCGGUUACCCGCGACUAGACGGAAAGACCCCAUGGAGCUUUACUGUAGCCUGAUACUGAUAUUUGAUCAAUUAUGUACAGGAUAGGUGGGAGACUGGGAAGCAUAGGCGUCAGCUUGUGUGGAGUCGACCUUGGGAUACCACCCUUGAUGGAUCAGGUAUCUAACCUGCAGCCGUGAAUCCGGUUGGGGGACAAUGUCAGGUGGGCAGUUUGACUGGGGCGGUCGCCUCCAAAAGAGUAACGGAGGCGUUCAAAGGUCAGCUCAGCGCGGACGGAAAUCGCGCAAUGAGUGCAAACGCAGAAGCUGGCCUAACUGUGAGACCAACAAGUCGAGCAGUAACGAAAGUUGGAGUUAGUGAUCAGGUGGUAUUAAGUGGAAAUGCCAUCGCUUAACGGAUAAAAGCUACCCUGGGGAUAACAGGCUGAUCUCCCCCAAGAGUUCACAUCGACGGGGAAGUUUGGCACCUCGAUGUCGGCUCAUCGCAUCCUGGGGCUUGGAGAAGGUCCCAAGGGUUCGGCUGUCCGCCGAUUAAAGUGGUACGCGAGCUGGGUUCAGAACGUCGUGAGACAGUUCGGUCCCUAUCUGUCGUGGGCGCAGGAUAUUUGAGAGGAGCUGACCUUAGUACGAGAGGACCGGGUCGGACGCACCACCGGUGCAUCAGUUGUCAUGCCAAUGGCAUAGCUGAGUAGCCGCGUGCGGAUGGGAUAAACGCUGAAAGCAUCUAAGCGUGAAGCCCACCUCGAGAUAAGAUAUCCCACAGCACAGCUGGUAAGGUCACUCGUGGACUACGAGUUUGAUAGGUCGGAGGUGUAAGCACAGUAAUGUGUUCAGCUGACCGAUACUAAUAGACCGAGGGCUUGAACUA
rnacentral:rRNA from 1 species